rnacentral:misc_RNA from 1 species
GAUGAAGAACGUAGCGAAAUGCGAUAAGUAGUGUGAAUUGCAGACUUUAGUGAAUCAUCGAAUCUUUGAACGCACAUUGCGCCCCUUGGUAUUCCAUUGGGCAUGCCUGUUCGAGCGUCAUUUACACCCUCAAGCUCACGCUUGGUGUUGGGCGUCUGUCCGCGCUUUCGAGCGUGGACUCGCCCCAAAUCCAUUGGCAGCGGCUUCGCCGGCUUCUCGCGCAGCACUUUGCGUUCAAGAAGGUCUUCGGCGAGCUCGCGUCCAUCAAGUCACCCCUCAUUUUGACCUCGAAUCAGGUAGGGAUACCCGCUGAACUUAAACAUAUCAAUAAGCGGAGGA